rfam:Aedes albopictus isolate Foshan contig134914, whole genome shotgun sequence.
UGUUCUGCGGCUUAGUUGGUUAAAGCGCCGGACUAGCGAUGCGAUGUCGUGGGUUCGAAUCCCACCAAAACAA